CAGCAGUGAGGGCAUGGGUGCUAAGGUCCAUGUCCGAGAGGGAAAGAACCCAGACCAUCUGCUAAGGUCCCCAAAUGUAUACUAAGUUGAUCAAACGUGGUCAGACUGCUUAGACAGCUAGGAUGUUGGCUUGGAAGCAGCCAUUCAUUUAAAGAGUGCGUAACAGCUCACUAGUCGAGCGGUCCGGCGUGGAUAAUAAUCGGGCAUAAGUAUACUACCGAAGCAAUGGACAUGAAAAUGUGGUAGGGGAGCAUUCUAGUUGCGCCGAAGGUGAAUCGUGAGGUUUGCUGGAGCGGCUAGAAAAGAAAAUGUAGGAAUGAGUAACGAUAAAGCGGGUGAGAAACCCGCUCGCCGAAAAUCUAAGGUUUCCUCAGCUAUGCUAAUCAGCUGAGGGUUAGUCGCGACCUAAGGCGAACCCGAACGGGGUAGUCGAUGGACAACAGGUUAAUAUUCCUGUACUUGUUUAUACUGCGAUGGGGUGACGAUGUACUGAAAGCACCGCGCACUGACGGAAUAGUGCGUUGAAGACUGUAUCUAUAGGACCUGUAGGCAAAUCCGCAGGACCUGGAGAAGGUCGAUAGUACCGAGAGUCUUCGGACAAUCGGAUAGUGUGCCUAAAAACAUCCAAGAAAAACCUCUAAGCUUCAGGUAUAAACAACGCGUACCGUAAACCGACACAGGUAGAUGGGAUGAGAAUUCUAAGGCGCUCGAGUGAUUCAUGGCUAAGGAACUAGGCAAAAUAGUCCCGUAACUUCGGGAGAAGGGACGCCCCCUUAUGGGGGGCCGCAGUGAAAAGGCCCAGGCGACUGUUUAUCAAAAACACAGGACUCUGCUAAAUCGAAAGAUGAUGUAUAGGGUCUGACACCUGCCCGGUGCUGGAAGGUUAAGAGGAGAUGUUAGCUUCGGCGAAGCAUUGAAUUGAAGCCCCAGUAAACGGCGGCCGUAACUAUAACGGUCCUAAGGUAGCGAAAUUCCUUGUCGGGUAAGUUCCGACCUGCACGAAUGGUGUAACGAUCUGGGCACUGUCUCAGCCAUGAGCUCGGUGAAAUUGUAGUAUCGGUGAAGAUGCCGAUUACCCGCAGCGGGACGAAAAGACCCCGUGAACCUUCACUACAACUUUGUAUUGACAUUGGACAAGAGAUGUGUAGGAUAGGUGGGAGACUUUGAAGCGUUGUCGCUAGGCAGCGUGGAGUCAACCUUGAAAUACCACCCUUCGCUUGUUUGAUGCCUAACCCCGCAAGGGGGACAGUGCAUGGUGGGUAGUUUGACUGGGGUGGUCGCCUCCAAAAGAGUAACGGAGGCUUUCAAAGGUAUCCUCAGUACGCUUGGUAACCGUACGUAGAGUGCAAUGGCACAAGGAUGCUUGACUGUGAGACUAACAAGUCGAGCAGGUACGAAAGUAGGACAUAGUGAUCCGGUGGUUCCGCAUGGAAGGGCCAUCGCUCAAAGGAUAAAAGGU
rnacentral:rRNA from 1 species